rnacentral:sRNA from 1 species
AGAUGGAGUAAGAAUUUGACGGUAGAGACGAAAGAAAAAAAAAGAAGCAAAACAAAAUAGAGAAAGAGAAAGAAAGAGAGGAUGGUGAUAAAGAAAAUCGAGCUAUGCAUAGAGAUUACGAAGAUAACAAUGGAGUUCUUGGUGGUGGUGGCUGACGCCGUCACAAUCUUCUUAAG